UCAGGAAUGGAAAAUGUGCAUAUAUGCUUCUGGUUGCAGUGAGAUUGGCCUCGUCCAAGUUAUGGGAUCUGCCAUGAACUAGACAAGAUUAUAAGUUUACAGAGGCCUUACAUCAAGAGAGUACAAGAUUGCCAUAAGGAAGUAAAGUCUUUGAGGAAAGUGACCUUAUGAGAAGCUUGAGAAAAUCAACUUGUGUGUGAGAAGUUUUGUCUACUUGUGCUAAUUAGUCAUAUGAUAUUUUUAGUCAUGAACUAGACAAGAUCAGAAGUUUAAAGAGGUUUUACAUCGAGUACAAGAUCGCCAUAAGGAAGUACAAGUCUUUGAGGAAAGUGACCUUAUGAAAAGUUUGAGCAAAUCAACUUGUGUGCGAGAAGUUUUGUCUACUUGUGCUGAUCAGUCAUACCUUGGAAUAUUGCUGAACUGUUGCCUUUGUUGCUCAUUGGCUUCAAUACUUCAUACACCAUCAAAUGAGUCAUGUGCAAAAU